AGAGUUUGUAGUCCUGGCUCAGGAUGAACGCUGCGGCGUGCUUACACAUGCAAGUCGAACGAUGAGUCCAGUGCUUGCACCGGGAGUUAGUGGCGAACGGGUGAGUAACACGUGAGUAACCUGCCCUUAACUCUGGGAUAAGCCUGGGAAACUGGGUCUAAUACCGGAUAUGACUCCUCAUCGCAUGGUGGGGGUGGGAAAGGCGUUUUUGUGGUUUUGGUAUGGACUCGCGGUCUAUCAGCUUGUUGGUGAGGGUAAUGGCUCACCAAGGCGACGACGGGUAGCCGGCCUGAGAGGGUGACCGGCCACACUGGGACUGAGACACGGCCCAGACUCCUACGGGAGGCAGCAGUGGGGAAUAUUGCACAAUGGGCGAAAGCCCGAUGCAGCGACGCCGCGUGAGGGAUGACGGCCUUCGGGUUGUAAACCUCUUUCAGUAGGGAAGAAGCGAAAGUGACGGUACCUGCAGAAGAAGCGCCGGCUAACUACGUG
rnacentral:rRNA from 1 species